GAUGAAGAACGCAGCGAAAUGCGAUACGUAAUGUGAAUUGCAGAUUUCAGUGAAUCAUCGAAUCUUUGAACGCACAUUGCGCCUGCUAGUAUUCUGGCGGGCAUGCCUGUUCGAGCGUCAUUUCAACCAUCAAGCCCUAGGCUUGCGUUGGAGCCCUGCGGCUGCCGCAGGCUCCCAAAUCCAGUGGCGGGCUCGUCGUCGUACCGAGUGCAGUAAACAUCCUCGCUCAGGGAACGUGACGGGUUCUUGCCGUGAAACCCCCCACAUAUCAAGGUUGACCUCGGAUCAGGUAGGAAUACCCGCUGAACUUAAGCAUAUCAAUAAGCGGAGGA
rnacentral:misc_RNA from 1 species